AUUGAACGCUGGCGGCAGGCCUAACACAUGCAAGUCGAACGAGUGGCGGACGGGUGAGUAAUGUCUGGGAAACUGCCUGAUGGAGGGGGAUAACUACUGGAAACGGUAGCUAAUACCGCAUACCAUCGGAUGUGCCCAGAUGGGAUUGGCUAGUGGGGGGGUGAAAGGCUCACAUAGGCGACGAUCCCUAGCUGGUCUGAGGGGGUGACCAGCCACACUGGAACUGAGACACGGCCCAAACUCCUACGGGAGGCAGAAGUGGGGAAUAUUGCACAAUGGGCGAAAUCCGGAUGCAGCCAGGCCGCGUGUAUGAAGAAGGCCUUCGGGUUGUAAAGUCCUUUCAGCGGGGAGGCGUUACCCGCAGAAGAAGCACCGGCUAACUCCGUGCCAGCCGCCGCGGUAAUAC
rnacentral:rRNA from 1 species